UAAUACGUAAGGGGCAAGCGUUGUCCGGAAUCACUGGGCGUAAAGCGCACGUAGGCGGUUUAGCAAGUCAGGGGUGUAAGCUCUAGGCUUAACCUAGAAAUUGCCUCUGAAACUACUUCACUUGAGUAUUAGAGGGGAAGCUGGAAUUCACGGUGUAGCGGUGAAAUGCGUAGAUAUCGUGGAGAACACCCGUGGCGAAGGCGGGCUUCUGGCUAAUUACUGACGCUGAGGUGCGAAAGCUAGGGGAGCGAACGGGAUUAGAUACCCCGGUAGUCCUAGCCGUAAACGAUGAGUACUAGGUGUGGGGAUUAACAUCUCCGUGCCGACGCCAACGCAUUAAGUACUCCGCCUGGGGACUACGGCCGCAAGGUUA
rnacentral:rRNA from 1 species